rnacentral:rRNA from 1 species
UAGCUUGCUAGAAGAUGACGAGUGGCGGACGGGUGAGUAAUGCUUGGGAACUUGCCUUUGCGAGGGGGAUAACAGUUGGAAACGACUGCUAAUACCGCAUAAUGUCUUCGGACCAAACGGGGCUUCGGCUCCGGCGCAAAGAGAGGCCCAAGUGAGAUUAGCUAGUUGGUAAGGUAACGGCUUACCAAGGCGACGAUCUCUAGCUGUUCUGAGAGGAAGAUCAGCCACACUGGGACUGAAACACGGCCCAGACUCCUACGGGAGGCAGCAGUGGGGAAUAUUGCACAAUGGGGGAAACCCUGAUGCAGCCAUGCCGCGUGUGUGAAGAAGGCCUUCGGGUUGUAAAGCACUUUCAGUUGUGAGGAAAAGUUAGUAGUUAAUACCUGCUAGCCGUGACGUUAACAACAGAAGAAGCACCGGCUAACUCCGUGCCAGCAGCCGCGGUAAUACGGAGGGUGCGAGCGUUAAUCGGAAUUACUGGGCGUAAAGCGCACGCAGGC